rnacentral:lncRNA from 1 species
GAAGGUGGCCUAUGGUCUGUAACCUGUGGCUGCUGUUCUAGGUGUCAGGUUGUCUGCCACCUGUGUCUCACUUGGUCUGUGUCUUAUAAGAUCAGAGUAGAUAUGAUUCAAAGACAGCUGCAGAACCACAGGCCACCACAGCAUGGAUGAGAACUCACAAAAACUGGGAACCUGGGCACACUAUGUAGCCUGUGGGCAGCUCACCAGGUUGGAGAAUACUCCUGCCUUCCACAUGACUCUGUUGGUCUAAAUCUCUUCCAGGUAGCACCACUAGUUUCCGCUCCUUCCUGGUGGCUGCCUAGCCUGGUAUUAAAGUCUUCAUUUUGGCUUGUCUGAGAAUAAUUCUCUGAGGUCUUAUUGCUUAACUCCUGGGAAGCAGGGGCUUGGUGAAUCUGAACAGCUUCAUGGACUCCCUGGAGUUAUUUGAGUUGCUUUGGGCUUAAGGAGCUUCCCUGCAGGAUGGAACGUUUCAAUCUAGGAGGAAACUGCUAUACAAGAGGCAGGAGAAUGCUAAGUUUGAUACUACCUGAGCCACAAAGUAAGCACAAGAAACCAGCUUCAUCUUCAUAGCGAAACUCUAUUGAACAAGACAAAACAAAAUGGCUGAGUGUGUUGACACAUUCCUGUAAUUCCAGCCCCAAGAUGGGGAGGCAGAAAAUCUGGACUUCAAGUUCCUCCUCAGUUUGAGUCUAGUUCAAGCUGCAAAGACCCUGGUUCAAAACCAACCAACCAACCAACCAACCAACCAACCAACCAUCAAUGAAAAGGAGUGAGAACAAUUUUACCCUAAAGUACUCCUAUUAAAGUUGUGCACCAGCUAGGCAUGAGGUUGUUUGUCUGCAGUCCCAGAAACUCAGGAGGCAAAGACAGAAACCAGGAAAUUCCAGUCCAGCAUCAGCAUCAUAACAGAUUCCUCUCAAAAGCCUGAUGGCCAGACUUCAGUUUGAAGCACACCUGAUGGGUUACUCACAACCACUUUGAAGUCCUUGUGAAUCUGAUGUGUGUGGCUUCUCAUCUGCACAUACCCAAGUAGAG